rfam:Salmo salar isolate Sally breed double haploid chromosome ssa16, whole genome shotgun sequence.
GUCCGUGUCAUCUUUGUGAUUUGCAGCUAGUAGUCUGGGUCCAGUUGCAUAGUCACAAAAAUGAUCAUGGAC